rnacentral:rRNA from 1 species
AAUCCAGACUCCUACGGGAGGCAGCAGUGGGGGAUAUUGCACAAUGGGGGGAACCCUGAUGCAGCGACGCCGCGUGGGUGAAGAAGCGCCUCGGCGCGUAAAGCCCUGUCAGCAGGGAAGAAAAUGACGGUACCUGAAGAAGAAGCCCCGGCUAACUACGUGCCAGCAGCCGCGGUAAUACGUAGGGGGCAAGCGUUAUCCGGAUUCACUGGGUGUAAAGGGAGCGUAGACGGCGACGCAAGUCUGGAGUGAAAGCCCGGGGCCCAACCCCGGGACUGCUCUGGAAACUGCGUCGCUGGAGUACGGGAGGGGCAGGCGGAAUUCCCGGUGUAGCGGUGAAAUGCGUAGAUAUCAGGAGGAACACCGGUGGCGAAGGCGGCCUGCUGGACUGCAACUGACGUUGGGGCCCGAAAGCGUGGGGAGCAAACAGGAUUAGAUACCCGAGUA